rnacentral:misc_RNA from 1 species
CCGAGUGAGCACCCACAAGGGUGCGACCUCCAACCCUUCUGUAAUAUCGAACCUCUGUUGCCUCGGGGUGACCCGGGCCCGACCCGGACCCCGACGGAUAAUUGAUUAACUCUGCAUCUUUGCGUCGGGUGAUACAAGUUUAAUUGAUGUUA